CUGGUUCGCUCGUUGUUUCGUCGUUGUAUGCGAGAGAAAGCUGGAAAAAAGUCACUCACCGUUUUCCUCGAGGCCUCUCCUUGCCUCCUCUCCGACUCUGUCGCCUUGAGUGUCACUCGCGAGAUCGUCCUUUUCCUUGUUGUCCUCCGAGUCCGUGAGAACCGCGUCAUCGUCGUCGUCGGUCUUGUUUUUCGGUUCCCAAGUCAUUUUGUUCUCCUUUUUGAGGCGCCGCCGCGCGUUCGCGAACCAAGUGGACACCUGCGUCAGUGUCAUCUUCGUGAUGAUCGCCAGCAUGAUCUUCUCACCCUUGGUCGGGUAAGGGUUCUUCUUGUGCUCGUUCAGCCAGGCUUUCAGCGUCGCCGUGGACUCCCUCGUCGCGUUCUUCCGCCGUGCCGCCAGGUCGUAUCCGGCGCCAUCCGUAGGCGGCCAGGGUUGGAUCGUAGGGAUAGUAACCCGUGGCGGCAGGUUGGAGGGCUGCCGUGCCCCAUGCAGCACCCAUAUCCGCCGUCAUCCCCAUUCCCGUCGUGUCCUUCAAUCCGUACGGAUUUC
rnacentral:misc_RNA from 1 species